CCUACGGGAGGCAGCAGUGAGGAAUAUUGGUCAAUGGGCGGAAGCCUGAACCAGCCAAGUCGCGGGAGGGAUGAAGGUGCUAUGGAUCGUAAACCUCUUUUAUAAGGGAAUAAAGUGUGGGACGUGUCCUGUUUUGUAUGUACCUUAUGAAUAAGGAUCGGCUAACUCCGUGCCAGCAGCCGCGGUAAUACGGAGGGUCCGAGCGUUAUCCGGAUUUAUUGGGUUUAAAGGGUGCGUAGGCGGCCUUUUAAGUCAGCGGUGAAAGUCUGUGGCUCAACCAUAGAAUUGCCGUUGAAACUGGGAGGCUUGAGUAUGUUUGAGGCAGGCGGAAUGCGUGGUGUAGCGGUGAAAUGCUUAGAUAUCACGCAGAACCCCGAUUGCGAAGGCAGCCUGCCAGGCCAUGACUGACGCUGAUGCACGAAAGCGUGGGGAUCAAACAGGAUUAGAUACCCCUGUAGUC
rnacentral:rRNA from 1 species